rnacentral:lncRNA from 1 species
AUCAGCUGAAGGCUAUCGCCUGGGACUCCUUGGAAGCGUGAGCAAGCCGCCACCACGCGAAGGCACUGGGGCACAGCCAGCGCGAGGCACCGAGGUCCCUUCCCAGGGCUUGUUAACACUGUAACCCGGCACUCCGAAGGAAGCAGCUCCCACUGCCCAGAGCCUACCUCACCGCUCAUCAGAUGACUCUGGUUUCCACACACGGUUGGAGUCCCGCUUGAAACCUGGAUUUAGAGGGUAAGCACUUCAAUCGAGAUGGAUUUGUGACAGUUACUUUGCUAUACCGCAAGACAAAUCUCAGCAAACGUACAGGAUGUAGGAUGUGUGGAAGAGGGAGACUAUGUUUACAUCGAUAAAUGUGUUUCUUUUUGUCUGAGGAGGAGAGUAUUAUUCAGUAAAGAUGUGUAUAGUGUUUUUCCAUUGAUUGUAAGAGUCGACUACCAUCCUCCUCCCGAUUUUUUCCCUCUCCUUGGUGUUUCCCCCUUUCUACUUGAGAGGGAAGGAGAGAGGAAGAGGGAGGGAGGCAAGGGGGAGGGGGAGAGAGAGAGAAGCAUUUCUGCUUUAGCUUAAUUGGCUUAUUUCCUCAAACCGAUUGCUUUGUCGUGUUUCUUUAUGUAUAUUUGGUUGCAAAUUACCAAGCGUUUAACUGGGAUGGGUGUUGGAGUGUGGGGGACAGGGUGGGAAAGUAGUGGGGACUGGCAGUCAGUCGCGGUGGCCUUGGGAGAUCAAAAGGUGCUGAAAACCCCUGCCCGCAAAACACACCUCUAGUUAUUGGGGAGCUAGAGAAAUGUAGAUUCUAAUAAACAUGGCUUGCAGGAGUCCAUGAACAAAGGUACUUAAUGCGGACCUAAGCCUCCGUUGCUAUUGCUCCGCUAGCGGUAUCUAAAUAUUCAAAAGCAAAGUGUAAGUUGAUCAACAAACGCCCUGAUGGUAUUGGGCUUUUUUCCCUUUUCUGUUUUUGUGUGGAGGGUGGAGAAGGGAGGAGGGUGGAUGGGUGGGGGAAAUCCGACAGCUUAAGGAGGUUUGAAUUGAAUAUGCACCCAGCGGCAGUGGUCUCGUAGGAAAUGGUGUUCUCGUAAGUCAGGCUGCCCCGCUGAAGCACGAGAGAGCUUUGGUUAGAGCUCAGAGCGUCAGUUCUGCUGCGAGUGCUGCCGGCAGUCGGCCCGGGCUGAGCUGUCCACUCGUCCAGGUGCUGAAGCUGGUGGAACAUUUGGGUAGGUAGAGAAAGGGCUGGCACUGGUUACUUGGAUAAAAAGAAAGCGUAUCAACUACGUUGUUCUAGUUUCUUAAAGCGUGUGAGUCUGUGAGUCGGUGUGUGCAUGUAUUUUAUUUCAAUUGUAAGGAAGCAAAACUAAAGGAGAUUACUCAGGAAGCAUUGAAAAUCUGUGUGGGUAUUUAUACUGUGAUUCUGAUAUGCCAUGUAUUGCUGUGGAUGUAUGUAUUAUGUAUAUGUGUUUGUGUGCAUGUGUGUGGUGUAUAUACAUCUUAAUAAUCCUCUUUAAUUAAAAAAAUGUUCCAUUUACUAAAUCAAAAUGUAUCUAUACAAUGUGUUUCUUGUUUUCCUUUUAAUGUUAGUUGGGAUUUAAAUGGAAGAGUUCAGGAGCAAAUGUACACUUUGCUCAUAGACUAUUGCAUUACUUUCCCUAAGGGCUUUUGUUUCUAGGAGUUCAAGCUGAAGAGAACCUGUCAGCUUUCUGUGUGUGUGUGUGUGUGUGCGUGUGUGCGUGUGUUUGGUUGUAGCACCCCCAGAGAAAAGCUCCACUUUAUAGCUAUGUUAGGUAAUGGCAGAAAAUAGUGAUCAUUUAUUUGUUUAAUUGGCAUCUGUAUUUUUGUGAAAGGUGUACUUAAGAGUCAUCUGAAAAUACUGUAAAAUUAGCUAUUAACUGGGCAAUGCUCCUUUUCUUUCGAGUUGUUUUAGGCACCAGAUAUUAUAUAUUAAACAACUGUUCAUAAAACCUAGAAUUCAUGUUGGUUUUUCUACUUUAACAUGUCAGGAAAAUGAUGAGUUGGUGUCUCUGGAGAAGUAAUAUAUUUAAAGAAAAAAUUGUAAGAUCAAGCACAAACUAAGUGCCUUAAAUUGCAACCAGGUCAGUUUGAGAUGAGUUGUGGUAGUGGGAGAGAUUCUGUUAUAUAAUUACUCCUUGAUGAAGAGGUAUUUGCACUUACAUAAUUUAAGGAAUCAUAAUGUCUAUUGCCAUGUUUCCAUAUCCCCUCCCUAUUCCACCACAUGGAUGUACUUCCAUGUAUUUGAGAGUAAAGGGAAAAACAAAUAGAGAACUUUCUAAUGGAGCUACAACAUGUCUUGGGUAGUGACGUUGCACUUGUCCAUUUUAUUUAGUGAACAAUAAACCCUUAUUAUCAGAAUAUUCAUUGCAGGGUCUUAAGACAAAGCUUUUCCAGUAAGAGCCAUAUUGAUCUUCAAAGAAUCUCUCUCUGAAAGCCAAAAUUACAGUCACUUUACAAAUGAGUUUUUAUUUUGUUUUGUUUUGUUUUCCUUAAAAUAAUUUUUUAUGAAGACAGCCUCAAAGGCUUUUCUGUAGAGGUGUUCACAACAACUGCACAGCAAUGCAUUUAUACUGUAUAUUAAAAAGGUGGGCUAUGGAAUUACACAUGGGUACUACAAAACGAUGCCUAAAUCACAUAAACUCUACCAGCUUGUCAACUCCGUGCAUUCUGAUACUAUGGAAAAUGAGUUUAAUUAUUUUGUGCUUUGAAGCUUUUUUUUCCCCUCAAAAUCAUUAUGUUGUAUAGCUGUAAGGCCUUCAAAGGAGAGAUGCCUAUUUUUGUAGAUCUAUAAGUAUUUGAUUUCAAGUAGUAAAUUGAAUGGGUGUUUAUUUUCUGUGAUCUUGGGCUUGAGAAAAUGCAUUUCCAAAACACACUGCUGAAAAUUUCACCCAUGCAUGACCCUAUCUUUAUUUGAGCCUCACUUCUUCUUAAAGCCGUCUAGGCAAAUACAUUUGUAAUAUUUGUGUGCUUAACUAUGCAUGUCUCUUACAGGGCUCUCUCGCUGCCAUGACACUCAAUCAAAGCACCUAGAGUGGGCUGGCGGAGACCAGAGCGGGUACCGAGCAGAACAAGUCCAGAGGAAGGCACUGGGAGAGCACCAGGUAAACUAAAGGUUACUUGUCACGCCCACUCCGUGCCCAAAGAGCCUUCCCACAUCCUCCUUCCUCACUGGGAAGAGAGCACUCUUCUCCUGUAUUAAGUGCUUGGUUUUGUGAUUUGUCUUUCAGAAUUGGAAAUAGAGCAGCCAUUUGGAUUUGGGCAGGAAGCAGCAGAGCACAGCUUUGGAUCCUUCUUUAGGGAAAUCGAGUUAUGGAUUUAUGGUCCCGGUCAAGCUCAGCCCAGCCCCAGCCAGGGGCGGGCUCAGCAGCAAGAGUUCUGGUGGCGGCGGCGGCAGUAGCAGCGGCAGCGGUAGCAGCGGCAGCAGCAGCUUGGUCCUCUGACUCUCUUCGGUGACGGGUAUUCUUGGGUGGAUAAUACGGAUUACGUUGUUAUUGCUUAAGAAUACGCGUAGUCGAGGAGAGUACCAGCGGCAGGCGGGCAGCGGCCG